AUUGAACGCUGGCGGCAGGCCUAACACAUGCAAGUCGAGCGAGCGGCGGACGGGUGAGUAAUGUCUGGGAAACUGCCUGAUGGAGGGGGAUAACUACUGGAAACGGUAGCUAAUCCCGCAUACCAUCAGAUGUGCCCAGAUGGGAUUAGCUGGUAGGUGGGGUAAUGGCUCACCUAGGCGACGAUCCCUAGCUGGUCUGAGAGGAUGACCAGCCACACUGGAACUGAGACACGGGCCAGACUCAUACGGGAGGCAGCAGUGGGGAAUAUUGGACAAGGGGCGCAAGCCUGAUGCAGACAUGCCGCGUGUGUGAAGAAGGCCUUCGGGUUGUAAAGAACUUUCAGCAGGGAGGCGUUACCCACAGAAGAAGCACCGGCUAACUCCGUGCCAGCAGCCGCGGUAAUAC
rnacentral:rRNA from 1 species